GAUGAACGCUGGCGGCGUGCCUAAUACAUGCAAGUCGAGCGAACAGACGAGAAGCUUGCUCCUCUGACGUUAGCGGCGGACGGGUGAGUAACACGUGGAUAACCUACUUAUUUUACUGGGAUAACUUCGGGAAACCGGAGCUAAUACCGGAUAAUAUAUUCAACCGCAUGGUUCAAUAGUGAAAGACGGUUUUGCUGUCACUAAUAGAUGGAUCCGCGCCGCAUUAGCUAGUUGGUAAGGUAACGGCUUACCAAGGCAACGAUGCGUAGCCGACCUGAGAGGGUGAUCGGCCACACUAGAACUGAGACACGGUCCAGACUCCUACGGGAGGCAGCAGUAGGGAAUAUUCCGCAAUGGGCGAAAGCUUGACCCAGCAACGCCGCGUGAGUGAAGAAGGUCUUCGGGUCGUAAAACUCUGUUAUUAGGGAAGAACAACUGUAGAAUUAGCUAUGGACGUCUUGACGGUACCAAAACAGAAAGCCACGGCUAACUACGUG
rnacentral:rRNA from 1 species